rfam:Brachypodium distachyon strain Bd21 chromosome 3, whole genome shotgun sequence.
AACCUACUCCCUCCGUCCCAUAGUAGGUGACUCAAAUUUGUCCAAAUAUGGAUGUAUCUAUGCCUAAAAAGCGUCUAGAUACGUGUAAUAGAAAGUCACUUAAUAUGGGACGGAUGGAGUAUUAA